rnacentral:rRNA from 1 species
GGCAGACGGGUGAGUAACAUGUAGGUAUCUGCCCUUUGGCCUGGAAUAACACGAGGAAACUUGUGCUAAUACUGGAUAAGUCUUUACGGAGAAAGCUUUAUGCACCAUUGGAUGAGCCUGCACUUGAUUAGUUUGUUGGUAGGGUAAUGGCCUACCAAGACUGUGAUCAAUAGCUGAUUUGAGAGGAUGAUCAGCCACAUUGGGACUGAGACACGGCCCAAACUCCUACGGGAGGCGGCAGUGGGGAAUCUUGCACAAUGGAGGAAACUCUGAUGCAGCGAUGCCGCGUGAGUGAAGAAGGCCCUUGGGUUGUAAAGCUCUUUCGUCGGGGAAGAAAAUGACUGUACCCGAAUAAGAAGGUCCGGCUAACUUCGUGCCAGCAGCCGCGGUAAUACGAAGGGACCUAGCGUAGUUCGGAAUUACUGGGCUUAAAGAGUUCGUAGGUGGUUGAAAAAGUUGGUGGUGAAAUCCCAGAGCUUAACUCUGGAACUGCCAUCAAAACUUUUCAGCUAGAGUUUGAUAGAGGAAAGCAGAAUUUCUAGUGUAGAGGUGAAAUUCGUAGAUAUUAGAAAGAAUACCAAUUGCGAAGGCAGCUUUCUGGAUCAUUACUGACACUGAGGAACGAAAGCAUGGGUAGCGAAGAGGAUUAGAUACCCUCGUAGUCCAUGCCGUAAACGAUGUGUGUUAGACGUUGGAAAUUUAUUUUCAGUGUCGCAGCGAAAGCGAUAAACACAC